GGUAAAUGGAGGCAUCCUCUCAACCAGUAAAUGGAAGACAUCACCUAGAUGACUCAGGGAAACUUGACAAAAGAAAUGGCUCACACAAAAUACGAUAUUCCGCUAUAAUAACAAGGCCAAGGAGAAAGAACCACAGAACUGUAACGGAAUAUGCGUUAGCAUGGCUGUACACUGUAAGAAGAGCAAAUGCAGUGACUGGCCCUCAGGGUGCUACUCUGGAGGCUUAGGGGAACUGGCAUAUGUGGAGGUAGUAAAGAACAUUUUUUGUAUGAGGACUCUAGAACUGUUAAAAGCUUGGUGGUGGCUUCAGAGAAGCCAGAUCUCUGAGAUACUGUGGAAAAUAAGAGAGGAUGUGGACCAUCUGGACAUGCUGAAGAGCCACAUUAGCCAAGACUGCUGAUGCCUCAUACGCUGACCCUGACAGUGGAGAGAGCCUUGAAAAACCGGAGAUCCUCCCAGUGGGCAGAGCUGCUGCUAGUGCUCCCACUCAUUCACUUUACGUCGGAAGAUAACUAGCCUGGAGUUAGAAGACAAGCAGGCUCACAUCCGGUUGGACUGGUUAAGGGCCUGGGAGAUGCAACAAUGGAA